UGCAUGAUUCAAUGUCUGUUUUUUUUCACUUGGUGGGGAUUUUUGCUUAUAUGCUAGUAUAAUAAUGUAUUUGAUAGUAUUAGUAAUGAACGUGUAUGCUUCGAUGCUAAAACUUGUGGAUGGUGUGUAUUCCAUUUCCAGCUAUUACCAAAUUACUAUUUGAGCACGCGCAAUAUGAGGACUGCUGCAGAUUUCCCAUUUUUGCUUGAUGUUACAACAUUAACAUAUCUUUCGUAUCGUUGCAAGGAGGCCCUCCAUAGUGCCGGAGAAGCAAUGAAGCCUUUUAUUGAGAGGUGGGAAAGUAAUCAGUUCCUAAUUUGUUUUAAGCAACAAGAACCUUUAUGUGUUACAUGUUUCAAUGCCAAGUUUGCCUUAGUGCAUUAUAUAUUACAGGUUUCCUUUGUAUGUUGCUUGAUAAAAUAUCCUGAGAUAGUGCUGUCAAAAUGUAUACGGUUAUUUUUUCCUGUCUUUAUGAAAUGGAUAGCAGUCAGAGAAUGUCAAAACAUUCAUUUAACUGCCAA